AACACAUGCAAGUCGAACGGAUCCUUCGGGAUUAGUGGCGGACGGGUGAGUAACACGUGGGAACGUGCCCUUUGGUUCGGAACAACUCAGGGAAACUUGAGCUAAUACCGGAUGUGCCCUUCGGGGGAAAGAUUUAUCGCCAUUGGAGCGGCCCGCGUCUGAUUAGCUAGUUGGUGGGGUAAAGGCCCACCAAGGCGACGAUCAGUAGCUGGUCUGAGAGGAUGAUCAGCCACAUUGGGACUGAGACACGGCCCAAACUCCUACGGGAGGCAGCAGUGGGGAAUCUUGCGCAAUGGGCGAAAGCCUGACGCAGCCAUGCCGCGUGAAUGAUGAAGGUCUUAGGAUUGUAAAAUUCUUUCACCGGGGACGGUAAUGACGGUACCCGGAGAAGAAGCCCCGGCUAACUUCGUGCCAGCCGCCGCGGUAAUAC
rnacentral:rRNA from 1 species